CUCACUUACGAUGAUCAAAAAAAUUUCGAUUUUCGACAAUAAUUAGAGGUGGCGUCAAAGAAAGUGUGGAUGCAGAUAGAGAAAUUCUCAGCAUUCUUAGGUUCCAGUAGACCUUCACAUCAUUCAAACCAGAAAUGGAGAAAUUAGAAAUAGACUCAGAUUAUGUGUAUGAAUACUUAUCAAAUACAAAAGUUAUUUACACGAUCAUAGGCGAGUUUAAAUGAGAUACUCAUUUUAACUGGGAUUUCGGAAAAUGCUGGACAAAAAGUGUUUUCUAGAUUGUAAGAUAAGUUCUUACCAUAAUUGCACCAGUAGGAUCAGAUAUCAGAUGUUUGAUAAGGCUUUUUCUCAGGUCAUUUGGAGCUAUAACAAACAUAUAAAAUGCAAAUAAUACGAGGUCUGCUGACGAUAGAGUCGAGCCAAGAAAUC
rnacentral:lncRNA from 1 species